CUGGGAGAUGGUGGAAGCUUUGCAAUGAGACUCAGUGAUGGAGGGAAUAAAAGAGGGUCUCUGAAGCAUCCGAUGAGGAGCAGUAGCAGCAGCCCUGUGGCCAUCAGCUUGCAGUAAGACUGAAC
rnacentral:lncRNA from 12 species